rnacentral:rRNA from 1 species
UACGGGGGGGGCAAGCGUUGUUCGGAAUUACUGGGCGUAAAGGGUUUGUAGGUGGCUUGUUAAGUCAGACGUGAAAUCCCUCAGCUUAACUGGGGAACUGCGUCUGAUACUGGCGAGCUUGAGUGCAGGAGAGGAACGCGGAAUUCCAGGUGUAGCGGUGAAAUGCGUAGAUAUCUGGAGGAACACCGGUGGCGAAGGCGGCUGCCUGGGCCUGGCCUGACGCUGAGGCGCGAAAGCGUGGGGAGCGAUCCGG